CUUAGAAUCAUCACCAACAUCUUGGUUUUGUCUAAUUUCAGAUACAUACUCCAUCUCCAACCCUCCAUCACUCUCAUUCUCAGAUACGUUCUCCACUACCUCCUCAUUCACAUCUUCAAUAGCUGGGUUUUGCCCCUCGAGAAGUUGCAACUUCCUCCUCAAGUCAACAAGCUCUCUCUCCAUAAGAAAAAGUUUCUCCUUCAGUGUCAAGUUCUCCUCCUCCAACUGAGCUAUAUGGCUAUCCUGAUCAUCGACCCUAUUUUCCAAACAGUUAUUAUACUCUACUCCAUAGUUCUGAUAUAUCAUUUCAAAUCGGCUCAAAUCAUGGUCCAAUCUGCGUUCUACCUCCAGAUGUUCCUCUACAUCACUAUCACUCGAACCACCACCAACUUCCUCUUCUUCCUCAUCCUGCACUUCUGCCUUAUUCUCAGACCCUCGAAGCCUUAUCAACCCUUUCAUUGAUCCAUAACCAUCAACACCCCAUUCCUCCUUGGCCAUAUCACCCAACGCCUCCCUUGAAGGGGAGAACAUUGGAGUAGGAAGUACGGCUGGUGUUACAGGGCUAGGAGACACAAGUGAAGCGAUUCCACCAGACUUCUUCGCACGAAUUAUA
rnacentral:misc_RNA from 1 species